UACAAGAGUUGUUAGUAAAUAAAUAUGAAGAAAUUGCAGGUGAUUCUUUUGGUGUAUUUCAUUUGUGUCAGCGAAAUGUUCUAUGGAGUAGAAUCAUCGCAGAAAACCAGUAGAAGAAAAGGCAGUGGUAAGCAACGCCAGCGCGUGAUAAUCAAGAAUCUUCCUACCAGACCAUGUGAACCCAAAGAACUUGUAGGAAUUUGCAGAUUAGAGUGCAUGAGACUGAAACUGAAAUAUUGUGUAAGACAAUCAUUCAAGUGCAAAUGUCCCUAGAAAAUUUAACACGCUCUUACAUAAUACACUUCACCAUAAACGCAUUAGAAAAUAUAGUCGACGUUUCCGAUAUUUGUCAUAGAUAAAAUGCAAUUAUGCUUUCAUGAGUACAAAAAUAAAAUUUAAAAUAUUAA
rnacentral:lncRNA from 1 species